GUAAAUGGUGACCAGCAACAAGGACAAGUAUGUUCACUUGUGUAUGGAUGGUGUUCAGCACCAGGGAUGGGUGCAUUUACCU
rnacentral:pre_miRNA from 1 species